rnacentral:snRNA from 1 species
AUGCUUGCUUCGGCAGCACAUAUAUUAAAUUGGAAUGAUACAGAGGAGGAUUAGCAUGGCCCCUAUGUAAGGAUGACACUCAAAUUCAUGAAGCGUUCCAUAUUUUU